rnacentral:rRNA from 1 species
GUAGGUGGCAAGCGUUGUCCGGGAAUUAUUGGGGCGUAAAGCGCGCGCAGGCGGUCCUUUAAGUCUGAUGUGAAAGCCCACGGGCUCAACCGUGGUGGGUCAUUGGAAACUGGGGGACUUGAGUGCAGAAGAGAAGAGUGGAAUUCCACGUGUAGCGGUGAAAUGCGUAGAGAUGUGGAGGAACACCAGUGGCGAAGGCGACUCUUUGGUCUGUAACUGACGCUGAGGCGCGAAAGCGUGGGGAGCAAACAGGAUUAGAUACCCUGGUAGUCCACGCCGUAAACGAUGAGUGCUAAGUGUUAGAGGGUUUCCGCCCUUUAGUGCUGCAGCAAACGCAUUAAGCACUCCGCCUGGGGAGUACGGCCGCAAGGCUG